UAGGGGCCAGAGCAGGCAGGCAGGGCUUCUGGAGAAAGCCACGCCUGACACAGAUCUCCUCACCCACUCCAGAGGCUACAGUUUCCUGGGGACCCAACCUACUUCCCAAAGAGGGCAGUUCUGACAGGUGGGUGCCAACGUAGCCCAUCCUGACACUCUGGGCUGAGAACUACUCACCGGCAUGCCUGACCCUUGAUAUCUGCCAGGGACCCCAAAGGCCCUAAGAACUCCAGGUACCUCUCAGAUUGCUGCAACUGCCCCAGACCUCAAAGCCUCUGGGUCACUGGCUUGCCAUGUUCUACAUCAUGCCGUUCACCCAGAGCUGCAGACAGCUCCCGGGGAAGAGUCUCAGAAUGCAACAACCAACAGCUCUCCAUCUCCCCCCGGCCCUCUUAGCCGCCAAGCUCUAAGACUAUCCAGAUGGCAUAUUAUGGAAGAAACGUCUUCACCGACCUGGCACCUGGUCACCCUAAUGCUGACCAGGAGAUUCAGCCAUGAGAAUCCUCAGCUUCUCCUAUGGACCUCCAAAAAGCUCUACAGACAAGAUAGCAGAGUUGCCCUUUCACACAGGGUCACCUUGAGGGCUAAGGUGAGGUCAGCUGGAUUCCCAAGCAUCAGAAUCUCUCAGGGCUUGCUCAUUCUCCCACCUGACCAGAAUCAAUCAGCCUCUGCCCGGAGCCUGUUGAGGGCCUGCCACAUGCACACCUUACGGCAGCUGCACAGAUGCUUAGUCCCACCAAUCCCUCCCUGAAGCCACUGUGAGAGCAGAAGGAUCCAGUUAAAGGGUCAGAUAUUGUCACAGCCAGUGUCCCACCACUGUGAGGCAACCUGAUCUGGGCAAAGGACACCCUGCAGCCACUUCUGCCCCUACUCUCUGAAGAGAUGAGCCUACUUCCCUGUCUAGACCUGGGCACUGACAGGACUGCCUCUGUGGGACCGAGGAGCCUGAGAAGGGUGGAUUUCCUCCCCUUUCCCAUAUCUAUAGAGACCAGGAGUCCCUUCUCAAUUCUUCAUUUGUCUGAAUCAGCAUGUUGAGUUAUCAGUUGUGUGACUUUGGAUAAGUUAGUGUUGUUCCUCUGUGUGUAAACAGGAAUAACUUCAUCUGCCUUAUUAAGACUGAGGCAACAAUAAAAUGUGUCACAGAACAA